UGGGGAAUAUUGGACAAUGGGCGAAAGCCUGAUCCAGCCAUGCCGCGUGUGUGAAGAAGGUCUUCGGAUUGUAAAGCACUUUAAGUUGGGAGGAAGGGCAGUAAGCUAAUACCUUGCUGUUUUGACGUUACCGACAGAAUAAGCACCGGCUAACUUCGUGCCAGCAGCCGCGGUAAUACGAAGGGUGCAAGCGUUAAUCGGAAUUACUGGGCGUAAAAGCGCGCGUAGGUGGUUCGUUAAGUUGGAUGUGAAAGCCCCGGGCUCAACCUGGGAACUGCAUCCAAAACUGGCGAGCUAGAGUACGGUAGAGGGUGGUGGAAUUUCCUGUGUAGCGGUGAAAAUGCGUAGAUAUAGGAAGGAACACCAGUGGCGAAGGCGACCACCUGGACUGAUACUGACACUGAGGUGCGAAAAGCGUGGGGAGCAAAACAGGAUUAGAUACCCUGGUAGUCCACGCCGUAAAACGAUGUCAACUAGCCGUUGGGUUCCUUGAGAACUUAGUGGCGCAGCUAAACGCAUUAAAGUUGACCGCCUGGGGGAGUACGGUCCGCAAAGGUUAAAAACUCAAAAGGAAAUUGACGGGGUCAUAGCUGUUUCCUG
rnacentral:rRNA from 1 species